rnacentral:rRNA from 1 species
UCAGGACGAACGCUGGCGGCGUGCUUCAUACAUGCAAGUCGAACGAUAAGGUCUCUUCGGAGAUACAUAAGUGGCGGACGGGUGAGUAAUGUGUAGAGAAUCUGCCCUAGAGUGGGGGACAACAGAGGGAAACUUCUGCUAAUACCCCAUAUGCGCGUAGCUGAGAUGCUAUUCGUGAAAACUCCGGUGCUCUAGGAUGAGUCUGCAUCUGAUUAGCUAGUAGGCGGUGUAAUGGACCACCUAGGCGACGAUCAGUAGCUGGUUUGAGAGGAUGAUCAGCCACAAUGGGACUGAGACACGGCCCAUACUCCUACGGGAGGCAGCAGUAGGGAAUUUUGCGCAAUGGGGGGAAAAACCCCUGACGCAGCAACGCCGCGUGAAUGAAGAAGCCCUUCGGGGUGUAAAGUUCUGUCAGUGGGGACGAAACUUGACGGUACCCACAGAGGAAGCAUCGGCUAACUCCGUGCCAGCCGCGGC